rnacentral:rRNA from 1 species
GCGUGAGUGAUGAAGGCCCUAGGGUUGUAAAGCUCUUUCAGCGGGGAAGAUAAUGACAUUACCCGCAGAAGAAGCCCCGGCUAACUUCGUGCCAGCAGCCGCGGUAAUACGAAGGGGGCAAGCGUUGUUCGGAAUCACUGGGCGUAAAGCGCACGUAGGCGGAUCGAUAAGUCGGGGGUGAAAGCCCGAGGCUCAACCUCGGAACUGCCUUCGAUACUGUCGAUCUGGAGUCCGGGAGAGGUGAGUGGAACUCCUAGUGUAGAGGUGAAAUUCGU